rnacentral:rRNA from 1 species
UACGUAGGGGCCAAGCGUUGUCCGGAAUUAUUGGGCGUAAAGAGCUCGUAGGCGGCCCAUCAAGUCGGGUGUGAAAUCUCAAGGCUCAACCUUGAAAUUGCAUUCGAUACUGCUGGGCUUGAGGCAGGUAGGGGAAAGCGGAAUUCCUGGUGUAGCGGUGAAAUGCGCAGAUAUCAGGAGGAACACCGGUGGCGAAGGCGGCUUUCUGGGCCUGUACUGACGCUGAGGAGCGAAAGCGUGGGGAGCAAACAGG